rnacentral:rRNA from 1 species
AGUGAACGCUGGCGGUAGGCCUAACACAUGCAAGUCGAACGGCAGCACAGUAAGAGCUUGCUCUUACGGGUGGCGAGUGGCGGACGGGUGAGGAAUACAUCGGAAUCUACUUUUUCGUGGGGAUAACGUAGGGAAACUUACGCUAAUACCGCAUACGACCUACGGGUGAAAGCAGGGGAUCUUCGGACCUUGCGCGAUUGAAUGAGCCGAUGUCGGAUUAGCUAGUUGGCGGGGUAAAGGCCCACCAAGGCGACGAUCCGUAGCUGGUCUGAGAGGAUGAUCAGCCACACUGGAGCUGAGACACGGUCCAGACUCCUACGGGAGGCAGCAGUGGGGAAUAUUGGACAAUGGGCGCAAGCCUGAUCCAGCCAUACCGCGUGGGUGAAGAAGGCCUUCGGGUUGUAAAGCCCUUUUGUUGGGAAAGAAAAGCAGCAGGUUAAUACCCCGCUGUUCUGACGGUACCCAAAGAAUAAGCACCGGCUAACUUCGUG